UUCCGAUUUCGCUGCGUAGCAGAGCCUGGUCUAGGUCUAUCCACACUGAAAGCGGUUUCCUUGAAACGCUUAACGCUCGUCGUCCGUCCGUUAACAAGUGUAAUCUGUUUUAAUCAGUGGUUUUCCUCGCGUUUAUCAUAGUAUCGUCAAAAAGAACGGAAAAGCUAGAUGUCGCUAGCAAACAAGGAUAUUUUCGGUGUUCUCAGGGGAAAGUGUAGUGAGUGCGAAGAUUGCAAAGAAUAUAUAACCGAAAACGGACGUCACCACCGCAGCCCUAAUUCACACACUUCAUACACUGGGAUCCCACAUGCAGGUUCACAUACCGUCACCAGCGCAAUGCAGUACCUCACAAACUCGUCCCAGAGCGCCUCCAACGCUGAUAACGCAGUAAGUUUCUUUCAGGUGUCCAGCGUUCAUCAGAGUGGCAGCAACUGCGUGGAUAUGCUUGCAAAGACCAAGCCUCACUGUGUUGUCGAUACAUGUGCAAGUGAAGUUGUGGACACAUAUGGCACAUUUUGGACACCUGAAGCUGCAUGUCGAUGAAGUACAGUCAGUGUUUGGCUGCUGUGUCACAAUGUACGACACACCCUCAGAAGACUGUGACUUCACUGACCAUUGGCAUUGUAAAACGCUGGUGCAUCAUCACUCAUGAAGGUAUUUACGACCAGGAUUCCAGUCCUUUCUUUUAUGGCACCAAAGAAGAUCUUCAUGGCUACAUAUAUGCAGAAAGCGCAAGGAAACCCACUGCCAAACUCGUCAACACAUAGGAGCGUCACAAGUUCAAAGUCGAAACCUAUAGGGAUGACACAGACGCAGGACCGUCAUGUGUGCGAGACAUGUCCCACCAGUUUUAACACUCCCUUGGGACUUCAACUGUCUUGCACCUGUGCCUGUAAGGGACUGCCUGACCGGUGACACCGCAAGUACCAUUUCUUGACACCACCAGCAAUUGUUCUUGAUCCGGUUGGGGCUGAGAACUUGGUGUGUGUGGCCUUCUCCACUUCUUCCUUCCACGCUUUGAAUUCUGUUAAAAUCAUUCUGAAUUUAAGUUUAUUGUUGAGGUGUGCCACUAAUUACCAUACACAUUUGUGCUCUUGUACGGAAUGUCGAAUCAAGCAUUUGUACUGAAAACUGAAAUGUAUGUGAUGUGCCUCUCACAAUUAGUAUAUGACAACACUAUCAGCCAGGUGAUAUUUCAAUGAUGUGAUGUUACAUACAUAUGCUAUUGAAUGUGGGAUAGUGAAAUGAGCUCAGAUAAGCAGUGUCUGAAGACUCAGGUGGGGGUAUGUCUUUCAAAGUGCUUUGUAUAAAAUUUUCACUCUAAUCAUAAUCAUAUACAUUUCCAAAUUAUGUUUUUAGACAAAUAUAGAACCUUUC